AUUGAACGCUGGCGGCAGGCCUAACACAUACAAGUCGAACGAGUGGCGGACGGGUGAGUAAUGUAUGGGAAACUGCCUGAUGGAGGGGGAUAACUACUGGAAACGGUAGCUAAUACCGCAUAACAUCGUAUGUGCCCAGAUGGGAUUAGCGAGUAGGUGGGGUAACGGCGUACCUAGGCGACGAUCCAUAGCUGGUCUGAGAGGAUGACAAGCCACACUGGAACUGAGACACGGUCCAGCCUCCUACGGGAGGCCGCAGUGGGGAAUAGUGCACAAUGGGCGAAAGCCUGAUGCAGCCAUGCCGCGUGUAUGAAGAAGGCCUUCGGGUUGUAAAGUACUUUCAGCGGGGAGGCGUUACCCGCAGAAGAAGCACCGGCUAACUCCGUGCCAGCAGCCGCGGUAAUAC
rnacentral:rRNA from 1 species